UGGGCCGGUAUUGUGACGGACUGGGCCGGUAUUGUGACGGACUGGGCCGGUAAUGUGACGGACUGGGCCGGUAAUGUGACGGACUGGGCCGGUAAUGUGACGGACUGGGCCGGUAAUGUGGUAAUGUGACAGACUGGGCCGGUAAUGAGACAGACUGGGCCGGUUAUGAGGUAAUGUGACAGACUGGGCCGUUAUGAGGUAAUGAGACAGACUGGGCCGGUUAUGAGGUAAUGAGACAGACUGGGCCGGUUAUGAGGUAAUGUGACAGACUGGGCCGGUUAUGAGGUAAUGAGACAGACUGGGCCGGUUAUGAGGUAAUGAGACAGACUGGGCCGGUUAUGAGACAGACUGGGCCGGUUAUGAGGUAAUGAGACAGACUGGGCCGGUAAUGAGGUAAUGAGACAGACUGGGCCGGUUAUGAGACAGACUGGGCCGGUUAUGAGGUAAUGAGACAGACUGGGCCGGUUAUGAGGUAAUGUGACAGACUGGGCGGUUAUGAGGUAAUGAGACAGACUGGGCGGUUAUGAGGUAAUGAGACAGACUGGGCCGGUUAUGAGGUAAUGAGACAGACUGGGCCGGUUAUAAGGUAAUGUGACAGACUGGGCUGUUAUGAGGUAAUGAGACAGACUGGGCCGGUUAUGAGGUAAUGAGACAGACUGGGCCGGUUAUGAGGUAAUGUGACAGACUGGGCGGUUAUGAGGUAAUGAGACAGACUGGGCCGGUUAUGAGACAGACUGGGCCGGUUAUGAGGUAAUGAGACAGACUGGGCCGGUAAUGAGGUAAUGAGACAGA